rnacentral:rRNA from 1 species
AUUGAACGCUGGCGGCAGGCCUAACACAUGCAAGUCGAGCGGUAGCACAGAGAGCUUGCUCUCGGGUGACGAGCGGCGGACGGGUGAGUAAUGUCUGGGAAACUGCCUGAUGGAGGGGGAUAACUACUGGAAACGGUAGCUAAUACCGCAUAAUGUCGCAAGACCAAAGUGGGGGACCUUCGGGCCUCAUGCCAUCAGAUGUGCCCAGAUGGGAUUAGCUAGUAGGUGGGGUAAUGGCUCACCUAGGCGACGAUCCCUAGCUGGUCUGAGAGGAUGACCAGCCACACUGGAACUGAGACACGGUCCAGACUCCUACGGGAGGCAGCAGUGGGGAAUAUUGCACAAUGGGCGCAAGCCUGAUGCAGCCAUGCCGCGUGUGUGAAGAAGGCCUUCGGGUUGUAAAGCACUUUCAGCGGGGAGGAAGGCGAUAAGGUUAAUAACCUUGUCGAUUGACGUUACCCGCAGAAGAAGCACCGGCUAACUCCGUGCCAGCAGCCGCGGUAAUACGGAGGGUGCAAGCGUUAAUCGGAAUUACUGGGCGUAAAGCGCACGCAGGCGGUCUGUCAAGUCGGAUGUGAAAUCCCCGGGCUCAACCUGGGAACUGCAUUCGAAACUGGCAGGCUAGAGUCUUGUAGAGGGGGGUAGAAUUCCAGGUGUAGCGGUGAAAUGCGUAGAGAUCUGGAGGAAUACCGGUGGCGAAGGCGGCCCCCUGGACAAAGACUGACGCUCAGGUGCGAAAGCGUGGGGAGCAAACAGGAUUAGAUACCCUGGUAGUCCACGCCGUAAACGAUGUCGAUUUGGAGGUUGUGCCCUUGAGGCGUGGCUUCCGGAGCUAACGCGUUAAAUCGACCGCCUGGGGAGUACGGCCGCAAGGUUAAAACUCAAAUGAAUUGACGGGGGCCCGCACAAGCGGUGGAGCAUGUGGUUUAAUUCGAUGCAACGCGAAGAACCUUACCUGGUCUUGACAUCCACAGAACUUUCCAGAGAUGGAUUGGUGCCUUCGGGAACUGUGAGACAGGUGCUGCAUGGCUGUCGUCAGCUCGUGUUGUGAAAUGUUGGGUUAAGUCCCGCAACGAGCGCAACCCUUAUCCUUUGUUGCCAGCGGUUCGGCCGGGAACUCAAAGGAGACUGCCAGUGAUAAACUGGAGGAAGGUGGGGAUGACGUCAAGUCAUCAUGGCCCUUACGACCAGGGCUACACACGUGCUACAAUGGCAUAUACAAAGAGAAGCGACCUCGCGAGAGCAAGCGGACCUCAUAAAGUAUGUCGUAGUCCGGAUUGGAGUCUGCAACUCGACUCCAUGAAGUCGGAAUCGCUAGUAAUCGUAGAUCAGAAUGCUACGGUGAAUACGUUCCCGGGCCUUGUACACACCGCCCGUCACACCAUGGGAGUGGGUUGCAAAAGAAGUAGGUAGCUUAACCUUCGGGAGGGCGCUUACCACUUUGUGAUUCAUGACUGGGGUG